rnacentral:rRNA from 1 species
UGGGGAAUAUUGGACAAUGGGCGAAAGCCUGAUCCAGCCAUGCCGCGUGUGUGAAGAAGGUCUUCGGAUUGUAAAGCACUUUAAGUUGGGAGGAAGGGCAUUAACCUAAUACGUUAGUGUUUUGACGUUACCGACAGAAUAAGCACCGGCUAACUCUGUGCCAGCAGCCGCGGUAAUACAGAGGGUGCAAGCGUUAAUCGGAAUUACUGGGCGUAAAGCGCGCGUAGGUGGUUUGUUAAGUUGGAUGUGAAAUCCCCGGGCUCAACCUGGGAACCGCAUUCAAAACUGACUGACUAGAGUAUGGUAGAGGGUGGUGGAAUUUCCUGUGUAGCGGUGAAAUGCGUAGAUAUAGGAAGGAACACCAGUGGCGAAGGCGACCACCUGGACUAAUACUGACACUGAGGUGCGAAAGCGUGGGGAGCAAACA